GCGGUGGUGGCGGAAUUGGCAGACGCGCUAGAUUCAGGUUCUAGUGGGCGCUAAGCCCGUGGAGGUUCAAGUCCUCUUCACCGCACCA
rnacentral:tRNA from 1 species